UGGGGAAUUUUGGUCAAUGGACGAAAGCCUGACCCAGCAACGCCGCGUGAAGGAUGAAGUAUUUCGGUAUGUAAACUUCGUAAGAAUAGGAAGAAUAAAUGACGGUACUAUUUGUAAGGUCCGGCUAACUACGUGCCAGCAGCCGCGGUAAUACGUAGGGACCAAGCGUUGUUCGGAUUUACUGGGCGUAAAGGGCGCGUAGGCGGCGUGGUAAGUCAUCUGUGAAAUCUCCGAGCUUAACUCGGAACGGUCAGAUGAUACUGCUGUGCUAGAGUACAGAAAGGGCAAUCGGAAUUCUUGGUGUAGCGGUGAAAUGCGUAGAUAUCAAGAGGAACACCUGAGGUGAAGACGGGUUGCUGGGCUGACACUGACGCUGAGGCGCGAAAGCCAGGGGAGCAAACGGGAUUAGAUACCCUUGUAGUCCCUGAGCGGGCUGGCAAGGCGCAU
rnacentral:rRNA from 1 species